rnacentral:rRNA from 1 species
UACGUAGGGUGCUAGCGUUGUUCGGAAUCAUUGGGCGUAAAGCGCGUGUAGGUGGUUAAUUAAGUCGGGUGUGAAAUCCCUGGGCUCAACCGAGGAAGUGCAUCCGAAACUAAUUAGCUAGAGAGUGGCAGAGGAAGGUGGAAUUCCUAGUGUAGAGGUGAAAUUCGUAGAUAUUAGGAGGAAUACCGGUGGCGAAGGCGGCCUUCUGGACCAUUUCUGACACUGAGACGCGAAAGCGUGGGGAGCAAACAGG